CUCUUAGGGCAUGGAAGGUUCAAAGUUGAUCUCAUUCAACCAAAGUGGCUUGGCUUCUCCACUGAUAUCGAUCCGAUUUUUGAUGAUGUUCACGUUGUAACUGUUAAACAAAGAAAUGAUACUCUAGGGAAUGACACGUGGUCUGAAUUGGAAAGAUAUACACCCAAUGGAUUUCCUUCAUUCUAG